rnacentral:rRNA from 1 species
UCCUCCCUCUUUCUGCUUUCUUAACACAUGCAAGUCGAACGAGUGGCGAACGGGUGAGUAACACGUGGGUGAUCUGCCUUGCACUUCGGGAUAAGCUUGGGAAACUGGGUCUAAUACCUGAUAGUGCAAGAUGAGCUCGCGGCCUAUCAGCUUGUUGGUGGGGUAAUUGCUACCCCGGCGCGACGGGUAGCCGGCCUGAGAGGUUGUACGGCCACAUUGGGACUGCGAGAAGGCCCAGACUACUACGUGAGGCAGCAGUGGGGAAUAUUGAACAAUGGGCGGAAGCCUGAGGCAGCGACGCCGCGUGGGGGAUGAAGGCAGUCGGGUUGUAAACUCCGUGAGACAGGGAAGCGGUACCUGUAUAAGAAGCACCGGCUAACUACGUGCCAGAAGCCGAGGGAAUUC